rnacentral:tRNA from 1 species
UUCACAGUAGGCGUGGUCGCUGUCCGCUUUUUAAGCGGAUUAUCAUGGGUUCGAUUCUCAUCUGUUACA